rnacentral:misc_RNA from 1 species
AAGUCGUAACAAGGUUUCCGUAGGUGAACCUGCGGAAGGAUCAUUAGUGAACGCCCCUCGGGGCUUAUCCAACCAACCUCUGUGAACUGUGGCCCUCGGGCCUUUUUACAAACAUUGAACGUCAUGAACGUAGUAAUCUAUAACAAAACAAAACUUUCAACAACGGAUCUCUUGGCUCUC